rnacentral:rRNA from 1 species
GAAAAUUGCCCACUCUUUGCAGGAGGCAGUUAUGAGACGUGAAGAUGAGUAUCUUGUAAAGAGGGAUAGGAGAAUUGGAGGGCAAGUUUGGUGCCAGCAGCCGCGGUAAUACCGACUCCAAGAGUGUGUAUGAGAGAUGCUGCAGUUAAAAAGUCCGUAGUCAUAGAAGGGCAAAGAGAGAUGCGAGGUCUCACAGUGCGAUGAUGGAGGAGCCGAUGGGGAACAUAGUAUACCAGGGCGAGAGAUGAAAUGCCAAGACCCCUGGUGGACUGAGCGAGGCGAAGGCGAUGUUCUUGUAGGCAUUCGGUGAUCAAGGACGAAGGCUGGAGUAUCGAAAGUGAUUAGAUACCGCAGUAGUUCCAGCAGUAAAAGAUGCCGACAUGCUCAUUGGACACAGUGGGCAGGGAGAAAUCUUAGAGUUCGGGCUCUGGGGAUAGUAUGCUCGCAAGGGUGAAAAUUAAAGAAAUUGACGGAGCUACACCACAAGGAGUGGAUUGUGCGGCUUAAUUUGACUCAACGCGAGGAAACUUACCAGGGCCAAGUAUUGUGUAGAAACGAGCAAUACAGGAGUGGUGCAUGGUCGUUGGAAAUUGAUGGGAUGACUUUGACCUUAAAUGGUUGAAUGAGUGAGAUCUUUUGGACAUGUUCCGCACGGAACAGGAAGGAAAAGGCUAUAACAGAUCCGAGAUGCCCUCAGAUGCCCUGGGCUGCACGCGCAAUACAAUAGCAGGUAGAGAGAGAGACAGGAAGGUGCUCAGAUGGACUAUGUGCUGUAAGGCACAUACGAAAGAGGAAUUCCUAGUAAGUGUGUAUCAACAAUGGAUAU